GGGUCACUCUUGUGUGCUUGUUGGGUGUUGUUAAAAAAUCAAAGGGAGAUGCAAUUUAAUGGAGAUUAGAGGUCGGUCUACCAUUUAAAACUAACUGAUUGAGCAUACUAUUACGUUAUUCUUGUUGUAUGGGCAUCGGAAAGUCUGGGAAAUCCAAAUCCAAGCCAAUUUCUCGGUCAGUG